AAUGUGAGUGGGGCCUGCAUUAAGUCAAAGUUUCAGAUAAAUGUCUUCCCUACGGGAGUUCCUGUCCUGACUUCCUUCAGGAUGAACAGCAAUAUCAAUGAAACUGACUCAAAGCAGAGAAUGGACAAUGUGAUCAGGAGACCUCAGCUGGGACCUCAGCUCCAACACUGUGAAAUGUGAAUAACUCUCCAAGUUCCCCCUCCACCAUCCCCAAGUCCCCCCUCCACCAUCUCAAGCAAUUAUUUGUUGCUGUGUUUCAAAGAAGCUCCAAACUGAGCAAGCUUCCAACAAUCUCCAUCUUAUGGCUGAAAAUCAUGUCGGCCAACAAGUUAGAAGAGACUUCACAAGGUGUUGCUUAUUUAUCUUGGGAUCAGGGAUCAGACAUGAAAUCAGAGCCAACCAUAUGGUCAAUUUUCUGAGGUUGCACCCUCUAAAUGUUACUGGUUCUCAAUCUGUGGGUCAUAACCCGUUUGGCAAACCUCUAUCUCUAAAAGCAAAAUUAUAUUACUAUUAUUAAGAGUAGUAAAAUUAUACUUAUAAAGUUGCAACAAAAAAUAAUUUUAUAUUUGGGGGGAAUCACCACAACAUGAGGAAGUAUAUUAAAGGGUCAAGUUGCAGUGUUAGGAAGCUUAAGAACCAUUGUUCUAAAACAUCUCAUAUGUCUCUCUGGGCUCCUCCCCUGUUCUUCCCCAGGAGUGACAAGCCAACUUAGACUCAUUCAUACUGUGAUCUCAAGGUUACAGCCACAAACAGGGUAAGGCCAUGUAUGAAGCACUUUACAUUUGUGCUUUCAUCAUCUAUUAAUGUCCCUCCUAUUGACCAAAUCAAAGCUGGUGGCCAAGCUUAGCUGUAAAGACAAAGAAAUUGUAUGUCAGUGAAAGAACAGGAUUACACUAAUAAAAGGGGAAUGCAGGGAUAAGAUCCAUUUAACAGGUGUCAUGCAAACAAACACUCCUUUUUAGAAAAUGAGGAUGUCUGAGGUACGACAUAUUAUGAUUACUAAAUCAUAAUGUAUUGCAAUUAUUAAAUAGUCCCUGUCCUCCCUUUUGUUGCCUAGAUCACUGGGACACAAACAUGGAAAGGGAGUAGACCAAGACUGAUUGCAGUCUCAUGAUACAAGGUUCACGGUACUUAACUUGAGUUCCCUGGAACUUAGUUGAAGCAUCAGGAGAGAUAAUAAUGCUAUCUGAACAUUGGGUGGAAUCUAUUCUUAAGGUUAUAUAGAGAAAAGGUUUGGGGACUCAGUUUCCCUUGAUCGAAAGUAACAGAUAUGGGAGAAAGCAGAAAAGAUAAUAAGAAUUAAAAUCCAAGGUAGUAGAACAAAGGUCAUAGCUACUGAGUUGACUUUGUGGUAAAGAAAAGAACAGGAUCAAAGGCUGCACUCUGUGUACCUGAGAUUUAGUAGUCUGAUAAGCAGAAAGGCAAUGUAUCAUAAAAGAUUCUUAUUUGACAGAGAAAUGGAGCCUCUUGUGGGGAUGUCUAGAAGAUUCUGAAAUCUCAAAGUAGCUGUUUUAUGAAAAAGAGACUGUGGUUGUUUGAAUAGCAAUGUCCCUCAUAGGCUUAUAUAUUUGAUAUAAUAUAUAUACUUAGUCACCAGGGAGUGGAAUUCUUCCAUAGGAAUAGAAGGAUUAGGAGACUGCUCUGUAGAGCAGGCUGGUCUCAAACUCAGAGAUCUACCUGUCUCUGUCUCUCAAGUGCUCUCUCUCAAGGAUUAAAGGCCUAAACCACUGUGGUGGUUUGAAUAUGCUUGAACCAGAAAGUAGCCUUAUUAGGAGGUGUGGUCUUGUUGGAGAAAGUGUGUCAUUGUCGGGGUUGAGUUUUGAGACUUUUAUCCUAGCUGCUUGGAAGACAGUCCUCUUCUGACUGUCUUUUGAUCAAGAUGCAGAACUCUCAACUCCUCCCACACCAUGCAUUCCUGGACUCUGCCCUGCUACUGUCUUCAUGAUAAUGGACUGAACCUCUGAACAUGUAAGCCAGCCCCAAAUAAAUGUUUUCCUUUUUAAUAGUU